GGGCAGCGGGGGAGGAAGCUUGCUUUCUCCUGCCGGCGACCGGCGCACGGGUGAGUAACACGUAUGCAACCUGGCCGUCACAGGUGGAUAACCGGAAGAAAUUCCGACUAAUACAGCAUAACACUCCUGAGGGACAUCCUUCGGGAGUCAAAGGAGGUAACUCCGGUGACGGAUGGGCAUGCGGCGCAUUAGGUAGUUGGUAGGGUAACGGCCUACCAAGCCGACGAUGCGUAGGGGUUCUGAGAGGAAGGUCCCCCACAUUGGAACUGAGACACGGUCCAAACUCCUACGGGAGGCAGCAGUGAGGAAUAUUGGUCAAUGGCCGGAAGGCUGAACCAGCCAAGUCGCGUGAGGGAAUAAGGCCCUAUGGGUCGUAAACCUCUUUUGUCAGGGAGCAAAGGCGUCCUCGAGUGGACAAAAGGAGAAAAAAAAAUUUUUUUAGCAUCGGCUAACUCCGUACAAAAAGCCGCUGGUAAUACGGAGGAUGCGAGCGUUAUCCGGAUUUAUUGGGUUUAAAGGGUGCGUAGGCGGAGUAUCAAGUCAGCGGUAAAAUUUCGGGGCUCAACCCCGUCAAUGCCGUUGAAACUGAUACCAUUGAGUGAGUGAGAAGUA
rnacentral:rRNA from 1 species